rnacentral:rRNA from 1 species
CUGGCUCAGGAUGAACGCUGGCGGCGUGCCUAACACAUUCAAGUCGAACGAACCGUAGAAAUACGGUGAGUGGCGGACGGGUGAGUAACGCGUAAAGCAAAUCUGCCUUUUGUGUGUGGAAUAACAACCGGAAACAGUUGCUAAUACCGCAUAACGCAGAGAGAUCGCAUGGUCUUUCUGCCAAAGAUUUAUCGCACGAAGAUGAGCUUGCGUCCGAUUAGAUAGUUGGCGGGGUAACGGCCCACCAAGUCGACGAUCGGUAGCCGGACUGAGAGGUUGAACGGCCACAUUGGAACUGAGAUACGGUCCAGACUCCUACGGGAGGCAGCAGUGGGGAAUAUUGGGCAAUGGACGAAAGUCUGAACCCCCAGCGACGCCGCGUGAGGGAAGAAGGUCUUCGGAUUGUAAACCUUAGUCAACAGGGACGAAGCAAGUGACGGUACCUGUGGAGGAAGCCACGGCUAACUACGUGCCAGCAGCCGC